rnacentral:rRNA from 1 species
AACGCGAAGAACCUUACCUACUCUUGACAUACUUGGAAUCCUUUGGAGACAGAGGAGUGCCUUCGGGAGCCGAGAUACAGGUGCUGCAUGGCUGUCGUCAGCUCGUGUCGUGAGAUGUUGGGUUAAGUCCCGUAACGAGCGCAACCCUCGUCCUUAGUUGCCAGCACGUAAUGGUGGGAACUCUAAGGAGACCGCCGGUGAUAAACCGGAGGAAGGUGGGGAUGAUGUCAAGUCAUCAUGGCCCUUAUGAGUAGGGCUACACGCGUGCUACAAUGGGCAGUACAAAGGGUUGCAGAGCCGCGAGGUGAAGCUAAUCCCAAAAAGCUGUUCGUAGUCCGGAUUGGAGUCUGCAACUCGACUCCAUGAAGUUGGAAUCGCUAGUAAUCGCGAAUCAGAACGUCGCGGUGAAUACGUUCCCGGGCUUGUACACACCGGAGUGC